rnacentral:rRNA from 1 species
AUUGAACGCUGGCGGUAUGCCUAACACAUGCAAGUCGAACGAGGUAGCAAUACCUAGUGGCGGACGGGUGAGGAAUACGUAGGGAUCUGCCCUUAAGUGGGGGAUAACCCGGGGAAACCCGGAUUAAUACCGCAUGAUCUCGCAAGAGCAAAGAGGGGGACCGCAAGGCCUCUCGCUUUUGGAGGAACCUACGUCGGAUUAGCUAGUUGGUGAGGUAAUGGCUCACCAAGGCGACGAUCCGUAACUGGUCUGAGAGGAUGAUCAGUCACACCGGAACUGAGACACGGUCCGGACUCCUACGGGAGGCAGCAGUGGGGAAUAUUGGACAAUGGGCGAAAGCCUGAUCCAGCAAUACCGCGUGUGUGAAGAAGGCCUUCGGGUUGUAAAGCACUUUAAGUUGGGAAGAAAAAGCUUCACCUAAUACGUGAAGCCUUGACGGUACCGACAGAAUAAGCACCGGCUAACUCUGUGCCAGCAGCCGCGGUAAUACAGAGGGUGCGAGCGUUAAUCGGAAUUACUGGGCGUAAAGCGUGCGCAGGCGGUUUCGUAAGACAGAGGUGAAAUCCCCGGGCUCAACCUGGGAACUGCCUUUGUGACUGCGAAGCUAGAGUACGGCAGAGGGGGGUGGAACUCCAGGU